UACGGAGGGAGCUAGCGUUGUUCGGAAUUACUGGGCGUAAAGCGCACGUAGGCGGAUCGAUCAGUCAGGGGUGAAAUCCCAGGGCUCAACCCUGGAACUGCCUUUGAUACUGUCGAUCUGGAGUAUGGAAGAGGUGAGUGGAAUUCCGAGUGUAGAGGUGAAAUUCGUAGAUAUUCGGAGGAACACCAGUGGCGAAGGCGGCUCACUGGUCCAUUACUGACGCUGAGGUGCGAAAGCGUGGGGAGCA
rnacentral:rRNA from 1 species